GAAAUGCGAUAAGUAAUGUGAAUUGCAGAAUUCAGUGAAUCAUCGAAUCUUUGAACGCACAUUGCGCUCGCCAGUAUUCUGGCGAGCAUGCCUGUUCGAGCGUCAUUUCAACCAUCAAGCUCUGCUUGCGUUGGGGAUCCGCGGCUGCCCGCGGUCCCUCAAAAACAGUGGCGGGCUCGCUAGUCACACCGAGCGUAGUAACUCUACAUCGCUAUGGUCGUGCGGCGGGUUCUUGCCGUAAAACCCCCAAUUUCUAAGGUUGACCUCGGAUCAGGUAGGAAUACCCGCUGAACUUAAGA
rnacentral:misc_RNA from 1 species